rnacentral:rRNA from 1 species
UACGUAGGUGGCAAGCGUUGUCCGGAAUUAUUGGGCGUAAAGCGCGCGCAGGCGGUCCUUUAAGUCUGAUGGGAAAGCCCACGGCUCAACCGUGGAGGGUCAUUGGAAACUGGGGGACUUGAGUACAGAAGAGAAGAGUGGAAUUCCACGUGUAGCGGUGAAAUGCGUAGAGAUGUGGAGGAACACCAGUGGCGAAGGCGACUCUUUGGUCUGUAACUGACGCUGAGGCGCGAAAGCGUGGGGAGCAAACAGG